rnacentral:rRNA from 1 species
UUAAUGAGAGUUUGAUCCUGGCUCAGGACGAACGCUGGCGGCGUGCCUAAUACAUGCAAGUAGAACGCUGAGGAUUGGUGCUUGCACUAAUCCAAAGAGUUGCGAACGGGUGAGUAACGCGUAGGUAACCUACCUCAUAGCGGGGGAUAACUAUUGGAAACGAUAGCUAAUACCGCAUGACACUAGAGUACACAUGUACUUAAGUUAAAAGGAGCAAUUGCUUCACUAUGAGAUGGACCUGCGUUGUAUUAGCUAGUUGGUGAGGUAACGGCUCACCAAGGCGACGAUACAUAGCCGACCUGAGAGGGUGAUCGGCCACACUGGGACUGAGACACGGCCCAGACUCCUACGGGAGGCAGCAGUAGGGAAUCUUCGGCAAUGGACGGAAGUCUGACCGAGCAACGCCGCGUGAGUGAAGAAGGUUUUCGGAUCGUAAAGCUCUGUUGUUAGAGAAGAACGGUAAUGGGAGUGGAAAAUCCAUUACGUGACGGUAACUAACCAGAAAGGGACGGCUAACUACGUGCCAGCAGCCGCGGUAAUACGUAGGUCUCGAGCGUUGUCCGGAUUUAUUGGGCGUAAAGCGAGCGCAGGCGGUUCUAUAAGUCUGAAGUAAAAGGCAGUGGCUCAACCAUUGUAUGCUUUGGAAACUGUAGAACUUGAGUGCAGAAGGGGAGAGUGGAAUUCCAUGUGUAGCGGUGAAAUGCGUAGAUAUAUGGAGGAACACCGGUGGCGAAAGCGGCUCUCUGGUCUGUAACUGACGCUGAGGCUCGAAAGCGUGGGGAGCAAACAGGAUUAGAUACCCUGGUAGUCCACGCCGUAAACGAUGAGUGCUAGGUGUUAGGCC